GAUGUGGCUGCAGUUCUGUGGUAUGAGCCUGGGGCUCUAACUGCCAGGUCAUUCACAGGGUUCAGUUGCCUGAGGGUAACAGUGUUAUUUCCUGUGAAAGUCUUGUGAAGAGACAAAGACUCUUCGCUCUUUUGUGAAAAAUAUUUGUGCUCUUUGGUGGCGCCCCAGUCCCGAUUCCUGGGUGGAUGAAACCAUCCUCGCCUUGGUGUGUGGACUGGGGCUCUUCUUCCUACUACUCCCCUACCUCAGGAGUGAUCCGUCCUCACUACCACCUAGGACACACGGGAGCAUCAGGAAGCAACAAAUAGAGCCGCUGGGGAGGAGGAGGAGGAGGAGCAUGAGACAGAGCGCUUUGAAAGGUAAGCUUCCACGUUCAGCCCUGUGCGCCCUGAGAGUCUGCUUCCAUCUCUCCCGGCCCUGAGGGACCAGCUCCUUGGUCUAUAAGGAUGCCAGCAGCAGGGAACAGAAUCCUCAGCAAAGGAAAGCAGGAACCAGAUCCUUUUGCAGAAUGAAGCUGUGAGGAGCCUGGGAAAGGGCCUGACCCAGCAGGGGCAUGUGGGCUGUCUUGGACCAGGAGUGCCUGGAUUGGGAGGUGGAUCCUCCAGGUUGGACUGAGAACAAGUGGUUUCACAUGGCCGGGAUUCCUCUGUGAGGUCUCCCUGCUCCCUCCCCCCCACCCCCGCACCCCCAGGGGGCUUGUGAGGGCAGCCAGGGGUAAGAGAGGUGGAAGCACUUUGCAAAUGAGACACCUGUCUGGGAGCUUCUCCAUCACUGUCAGGAUUCGUGUGGCCUUGGACACUGGUGCUUGGGUUCCAGUCUCCCAAAAGUGUCCCUAAAGGUACCAGCCUCCUGUAAAACCCUCAUGCCCUUGCCUUCAUCACCAUGACCCAGUGUCCUGAUUUCCAGCCUGCAGAGAUGGUCUGUAACAGCUGGGAUGGGUUUGGGGCCUGAUGGCACAUCUGCAAAGGUAAAGAAUCUUUCCUUUCUCUCCUGGGUUCUCCUUCCUUCCAGGGCUCAGGGUGUGACCCUAGGGCUGCAGGCAGCCUGGGG
rnacentral:lncRNA from 1 species